rnacentral:rRNA from 1 species
AUACGUAGGUUGCAAGCGUUAUCCGGAAUUAUUGGGCGUAAAGAGGGAGCAGGCGGCAGCAAGGGUCUGUGGUGAAAGCCUGAAGCUUAACUUCAGUAAGCCAUAGAAACCAGGCAGCUAGAGUGCAGGAGAGGAUCGUGGAAUUCCAUGUGUAGCGGUGAAAUGCGUAGAUAUAUGGAGGAACACCAGUGGCGAAGGCGACGAUCUGGCCUGCAACUGACGCUCAGUCCCGAAAGCGUGGGGAGCAAAUAGGAUUAGAUACCCUAGUAGUCCACGCCGUAAACGAUGAGUACUAAGUGUUGGAUGUCAAAGUUCAGUGCUGCAGUUAACGCAAUAAGUACUCCGCCUGGGGAGUACGCCGGCAACGGUGAAACUUAAAGGAAUUGACGGGG